GACGAACGCUGGCGGCGUGCUUAACACAUGCAAGUCGAACGGCAAGGCCUGCUUUCCCUUGUGGGUUGCGGGUACUCGAGUGGCUAAUGGCUGAGUAACACGCUCGUGAUCUGCCCCCACCUUGGUUAUAAGCCUGUGCAACUUGGUCUAAUUCCCGAUAGGACUGCAGGGUGGUGCCUGUGUUGGACAACGCUUUUCUCGUUGUUGUGGUUGAGCUCUCGGCCUAUCAGCUUGUUGGUGGGGUAUUGGCCUACCAAGGCGGCGACGGGUAGCCGGACUGAAAGGGUGGACGUGCACAGUGGGCAGAGGGUAAGACCAAGACGGCUACGGGAGGCAGGAGAGGGGGAUAAGAGACAAAAGGCGGAAGACUGAUGCAGCGACGACGGGUGGAGGAUGACGGCCUGAGGAUUGUAAACUACUUUCGACCGCGAGGAAGCAACGUGGAUGGAAGGGUGGUGACGGUAGUAGUAGAAGAAGCACCGGCUAACUACGUG
rnacentral:rRNA from 1 species